UACGGAGGGUGCAAGCGUUAAUCGGAUUUAUUGGGCGUAAAGAGCACGUAGGCUGAGAAGAAAGUUAGGUGUGAAAUCCCGGGGCUCAACUCCGGACCCGCAUCUAAAACUCCUUCUCUAGAGGGUAGGCGGAGAAAAGGGAAUUCCACGUGUAGCGGUGAAAUGCGUAGAUAUGUGGAAGAACACCGGUGGCGAAGGCGCUUUUCUAGCUUAUUCCUGACGCUGAGGUGCGAAAGCAAGGGGAGCAAACAGG
rnacentral:rRNA from 1 species